rnacentral:lncRNA from 1 species
GCAGAGACCUAAGGUUUGGAGCAAAGUGAAAGAACAGGUUUGUCAAGACUUGGGCUGGAAAUUGUGGUUUCCGCAUGAAGACUUCCCUGGGCUUCUUAGCAUCUCCCUUCACUCCUCUCACCCAAAAGAAGCAACAAACCAAGAAAUUAAGCACACAUCUUAAGGCUCACUUAAGGCCAGAGACACAAGCACUGGGAAAGGAGCCGUGGCGAGCAAUAAGAGG